AGCUCCAAUAGCGUAUAUUAAAGUUGUUGCAGUUAAAAAGCUCGUAGUUGGAUCUCAGGUCCCGACCUUCGGUUCGCCUCGCGGCGUCAACUGACCGUUCGGACCCGUCUUGGUCGGUUUUCGCUUGGUGCUCUUCGUUGAGUGUCUCGCGGUGCCGACUCGUUUACUUUGAAAAAAUUAGAGUGUUCAAAGCAGGCGCUUCGCCUGAAUAAUGGUGCAUGGAAUAAUGGAAUAGGAUCUCGUUCCUAUUUUGUUGGUUUUCGGGAAUCGAGGUAAUGAUUAAGAGGGACAGACGGGGGCAUUCGUAUUGCGGUGUUAGAGGUGAAAUUCUUGGAUCGCCGCAAGACGAGCUACUGCGAAAGCAUUUGCCAAGAAUGUUUUCA
rnacentral:rRNA from 1 species